rnacentral:rRNA from 1 species
AUAGCGUAUAUUAAAGUUGUUGCAGUUAAAAAGCUCGUAGUUUGAAAACUUGCCUUGGCUUACAAUCGGCUCUUCAUGGGCCACCGUUUGUUGAGAGCAAAUAUGGAUGACUGUUUUUGCCGACUUCAUUGCUUGGCUUAUAAGAGUCAUCAAAUAUCACUUUGAUUAAAUUAGAGUGCUUAAAGCAAGUGUGUUACUUGGAUAUAAAUGCAUGGAAUGAUGGAAUAUGUUGUUGUUCUAUUUGUUGGUUUUGGAACGAUGAAAUGAUUGAAAGGAACUGUUGGGGGCAUUCGUAUUGUUGUGAGAGAGGUGAAAUUCUUAGACCACAGCAAGACGAACUACUG